UACGUAGGGGGCUAGCGUUGUCCGGAAUCAUUGGGCGUAAAGCGCGUGUAGGCGGUCCGGUAAGUCCGCUGUGAAAGUCGGGGGCUCAACCCUCGGAUGCCGGUGGAUACUGUCGGGCUUGAGACGGAAGAGGCGAGUGGAAUUCCUGGUGUAGCGGUGAAAUGCGCAGAUAUCAGGAGGAACACCGAUUGCGAAGGCAGCUCGCUGGAACGUUACUGACGCUGAGACGCGAAAGCGUGGGGAGCAAACAGG
rnacentral:rRNA from 1 species